UUCUCAAAGCGGUUUUGACUGAGACAGAGAAACCGACAAAGCCUGGGAAUCCCUCCCAGACGUCUCAGUCUCUGCAACUAUAACAAGAGUAGAAAAACGCGAAACGAAAAAGACAGCAAAAUGGAGAGAGCUAAGUAAUAAAGGAGUCAUCUUCUCCUGGUUCGUCUGCCAUCACUUGAGAUAAUCCAGAUUACGAAGCUUCCUACGUUUAUUCAGAAACUCCAGGGGCCACUGCCCUUCGUCCAUCUCUCUCUCUCCCCUUCUUUCCUCUUUCAUCAAGUUUUUCAGUCUCUGUUUCGGUGGUCCUCUGUGAAGUUCUUUAAUGGCGACUGCGAACAAAGGUUUCGAUGAAGACCCAAUUCCUGGGACGAGUUUCACUCGGUUGUUAGAUUCCGGAGAUCAUGCGAGUCUUGAUAUGGUGGAAACUGGAAGCUUUAUCUUUCCAGCUGAGAAAGCUCCUAAGAUGCUCUGUUUUGGCAAUCCAUGCAACCAAGUAGCGAAGGGGGUCGGUGAGUACGGGAUGAUCGCCCAGAGAUCGGGAAUCACUGCUAGUGAUUCUUCUUCGGUUUCAUCUAGUAACCACAGUAGUAGCACAGGUAGCUUCUCCAACCCAAAGUCGAAGUCCCAAAGCGGAGAAGCAAAGACAGAGCAGAAGAAGCGAAAUGAGUCAAGCGUGGGAUCAGUUCCUAGUUCGAGUUUGGGCUCAGGAGCUUCAGGUGAUUACAGGAAAACGAGUAAGAAGGUUAAAACAGAGAACCUUGCCUCAAAGGGGCCUGCAAAGGCGAGGAAAGAGAAGCUGGGAGAACGGAUUACAGCAUUGCAGCAACUUGUUUCUCCUUUUGGGAAGACAGAUACCGCUUCCGUUCUUCAUGAAGCGAUGGGGUAUAUCAGAUUCCUGCAUGACCAAGUUCAGGUUCUGAGUUCUCCAUAUAUGCAGCGAUUAUCAUCUUCUGGGCAUGGGAGGAAUCUGCAUCAGGAAAGAGGAGAGGAAGAAGAAUCAAAAUAUGAACUGAGGAGCAGAGGACUCUGCUUGGUACCAGUUGCAUGCACAGUUCACAUGGCCAACAGUAACGGAGCAGAUUACUGGUCGCUUGCCAUGGCUUCCAACUCCAACCCCAAACAAUGAAUCCUCUCCAGUGCUUAUAGAAAUACAGUCUCAAAGAUAGAGUGUGUUCAGGCAUAAAACGUUAUGAAGUUAUUUUGGUGAUUGUCAAGGGAAAAAAACUACCAAAUCUGAGGAACAGAGGGAUUACAAACCCUAUAUAGCUUUGAAGUCUAACCUAUUUUGCAUACUUGGGAAGUUCACUUUUGAUGGGAACUGCACAACCUUAGGAACCCUAGGUGUUGCUUGUGGACCUGCUUGGAUGGCUCAUUGAUCCCUCCAGAUGCUUUGGAUGGGUACCAUUACCAAAGCCCAAUAAAUGGUGUGAAUUUCUAGUCAAUCAUCCCUCUGCAGAAGCCCAAAUGCCCAACUCCUCAACCAAAAGAAGGCUCACAAAUCCCAUCUUCGGGGAUAUUUGAAGGCUCGAAAGUACUGGAACAGGCCCAAAUAUCCUGGAUUUUCUUCUUCUCUUGGCUCCAUGUUAGGGAGGCUGGUCUUGGGUUUCGGGGGCAAGACACCCACUCUCUCAACCUCUGUGGUUCGGCUCUGUCCGUGCUUCGUAAACAAAACUGCCACAGUCUGUAACACAACACCUUGCGUCUUAGGUGUUCGAUAAUUGGUUCCACAGAAGAGGUUCAUUCUGAUCAUCUCACACUCUCCGAAUCCAGCGACAGGUUGCCUUUGAUAGAUGGCUUCAGGAGGGGAUAUUCCACCUCCCACGCCUGCAUUUAUGGCUCUAGCUAUAGAGCAGGCAAAACUUGCCUUGAACGGCCUUGAAGUAGCAGUGGGUUGUGUUAUUGUUGAGGACACGAAAUGCCACCAGAGAUGAAGAGAUGGAAGCCAUCAGGGUUAUCAAUACUUGGAAUCAAGGCAGUCUAUUAGGGCUGAAUGGCUGAUCUAAAGAUAUAUUGGGUGGUUUGUGGAUCAAUCUUGUCAUUGCAUUCAAAUAGCUCAGACGAGUUUUUCAGUAGUGGAUCUCCAAGGUUUAGUUCAGAUGUACUGGGGGUGUUAUGGCAUCAGAAGCCCUCUCUCUUUAGGAAGCUUCUAUCAGCAUGGGAAUCCCAAUGUUCCAAAACCUGAGGUAAUUUAUAGAGCAUGCAUGUGAAGUGUGAAAGAUGCCAUGUUAAUCUCACUGAAUCCACUUUGUCAUCACAAACUAAGUAGUGAUUGAUAUGUUUUUAAUCCCAUAUCAAUGAAAUUGUAUAGAAGGGCAUACCUAGUGCACAAUGCUAUCAUUACUGUGGGUAUAGGGAGGGUCAUAAUGUGCACAUUCUUAACGUGAAAUGCUACCAGA